CUUUCUGGAGACUGCUGCUUUGAGGAGUUCUGGUGACAAGCCUCAAUGUUUUCCACCUUGACUGAAGGCCUCAGGGUUGCCUGGUGCUCCUGAGAGGAGGCAGAGGCUGUGCUGCUGCAGGAUGAUGGACACAGGGGCGGUCACACUCCUGUCACCAGAGCCUGAAGUACCGCUAUCAACAAGUUACACAUACACAUCCUUGGGAACAGCCGAAAUACAGCUCAGCCUGCAUUCCUAUGGCCAGUCAUUCAAAACAGAAACUAAAGGAUUUGGUUAACUGCUUUACUUAUUUAUUUAACGCCUGCGUGUCCUUGCAGAUCAUUCACAAAGAGCUGAGCAUUUAUAUUUCCUGUUGACGAACUUUGAAAGGGAGAGUGCCAGUGGAAACUGGAUCUCUUAAUGAUCAAGUUCUGUGGACAGCAAGUCAGAUGCAAAUUCGUGAAGUAUUUAAAUCAGUUGUUGUGACCUUGAACUAACACUGCUAGGAAGCAGAAGGCCCUUCACUUAGGCAGGAAAGACUGGUAAUUACUUGGUGUGCUAGUGUUUCCAAGGGAGCAGAAAUGUCAUGCUAAAGUUCAGAUACUCAGAGGAAAGAGUAAGAAACAAAAUCAUGAAUACCAGCCAAAUAAAGAGAAAAAAAAAAGAAAAGAAAAGAAAAAUGCAUUACCUAUGAAAUCAGUGCUUGAAAGCUUUCCCACUUUCUAAGAUAAAUACGACUUCAGAGAUUGGAAGCUGCAGAUAAAAAUGGCUAUAAGGUCCAAAAUGUAGCUAUCUGCUUCUCUGAAAACUUCUACAUGCAGGUGGGCCUUUAUGGCAGAAUGCAGUUCUAAGGAGAGAAAGAGGGAGCCAACCUCACACCAAACAAGCUGGCCCAGGGGCAGGUGUAUGGAUGCAAGUACUGCAGGUACAUAAGAACAGUACUGUAGGCAGGCUAACUAUUCCUGCUGUGAAACUUGUGCAACUACUGCUUAGACACAGCUCAUCUACCAGAAAGAAUUGUUGGCUUCAUUUGUGCACAAAUACUUACAGCGCUGCCUUCUCUGUGCAGCAAUGUGCGCAGUGACUCCUUCUCAAGCAGCUGCUGCUGGAAGGCCAGGCUCUCUUGCCCAGGCACUUCCAAGUAGCCUCAAGAAUUUCAUUAAAGCAUUCAUCUGCCCUCAAUGAAGUGCCAGAGGAAGCGGUUGCAAGAGCUGAGGGAUUCGUGUCUGGUGGAGGGAGAAGGACCAGAUCUGGAAGUAGGUAUUGCAGUUAUCUAGAGAAUUAACCACAAAUAACUCCUGUGUGCCAUACCUCCUGUGCCUGUCUCUCUUCAGGUGAUGAACUGUGUCUGUCUCUUUGCCUCACAGUUCAGCUAUUAUACUCAUCCUCUCUGUCAUGCUUCCAUCACAGAUGCCUGCUGCUCCCAUCCCAGAGCAGGAAGGCACCAGGAUUGUUUCCACCAGCUUUGCAACAGGAGGAGCUUCCUUCCACAGCGGCAACCCUCAGCUGGCAAUGUAUGGCUGGAAUCCAGCAUAUAAGUGACAUAAACUCCCCUGGAGCUGCCUUCAUAAUCUCCUAUAAUUAACUGCUGUUGCUAUAAGUUUAGACAAACCCAGGAAAUCACAUGCAAAAUUCUGUCUGAUUUGCUAUCUAAUCUUCUCAUAUCUAGGUUCUUGUACCGCACACAUUGCUGUGGUAUCUGAGCAUCUUGGUGCCUGGAUGCAACUCAGUUGAACCAUUUUCAAGCUAAGCUGCUGGCCAAACGCUACUCCUACCUGCAGCCAGCUGUCUUGCUAUGAACAAACGGCAAAGAAGCAUCUUCAAAGGCUCCCCCAACGUACCAGCUUCUCUUGUCUUUCUUUCUCAGAUAAUGUAAGAUUGGGAAACUUGCCAAGCAUCACGCUAAACCGAAAGAGACAUUCAAAUUGCUGCAAGUAUAAGAGCCAAGGGAGCCCAGUCUGCCAGAAUGUUAUUGCAGCAGUCUCAAGGAGCUCACGGCAUUAAGACUUCAUUUUGUUGUGUGCCUGCCUGUCUAGGAGAUGCAUCACUGGAGGCCAGAAAAGCAUCACUUCCUCAAUAUUAAAUACAAGCGGCUUGGACAACUGCAAGCCAUUUGUUAGCUUCAAGCUUUUGAAUCAGUUUUCUUUCUUUUAAGACGGGAGGCAUUUGAUCCUGCGGUUACUGUUGCUUGAAACAGAACUUCUGCUUUCAAGGGGGUUUCAAAUAGACUCCUUUCUGGUGAGCAUACAAUCAAAGCAGGAACGCAGAAAAGGACCAACAGUCAAAAAGGUGAUGAAAAGAAGCUGUGUUAUUUCUGGAUGAGAAAUACUAGAUAUAGGUUUGACUGAUUUAAGCCCCAGUAAAGGAAAAGUUCAGAACUUAUCUACAUUUUAACUGUAAAGAAGCAGUCCUCCCCCCCAGGAUGAACAAUUUAUACUGAUAUCAAAGAGUAUUCUGAGUCAUUAACUGAAAUAUGUUGUGCUGGUAGAAGACAGUUAUAUCAGCAAGAUUUUGCCUACAUAAGGAUUUGCACCAGCAUAGUUUAUAUCCCUAAAGGAAGUCAGAUGCUGAACCAAUACGGGCAUACUGUACAGUGCAAACAAGGCCUGAAAAAUGGGGACAAUUUCAAUGUUUUGGUCUGCAUGUUUCUGUUUUAAAAGGUUCUGCAUUUGUAUAAUGACAGCAGUUACAGUAAAAAAGCAACCACCUAAAGCAACAAGAAACUAGAAGUAAUCUAAAAUCCCUUUUUUGUUUUGUCUAUUUAUUCCCACAGCUUUAUUCGCAGAGGUGGUGGGAGUCAGUGAGACAAGCUGAGAUGAGCCUAUGAUCAUAGUAUUAAGUUGAUUUGACUAUUAGAUAACUUUAAUUUAAAUGUUCCCCACGGGCUUUCUGGUAUUUUUUUUUCUCCUUAUUUACUUCUUGAGACUAUUUAAUACUUUGACCUGAAGGAAGAAGAUUUUGCGCAAGCAAGAGGAUUAAAGGUUCAAAUUAGUUAAAGAUGAAACAAAUCGACUGAUUCACCAAAGCCCUGUGUUCCCAGUGUCACCAAUAAUACUAUUAUAUAUUAAACCAUUAAUA